CGAUGGUGGUCCUCUCCAGCCCAACUCCCAAACGCCAUUUUUUACGUCUGAGAGCUUUCGCAGGAAGAAAUGAAGAGAUAGCAUGAGAGAGAGAGAAGAGAAACGGAAGAAGAAAACAAAAACAAAAGGAAAUAAGAGAGAGAAAAGAAGAUAAAUGCUAAAGCUGUGUUAGUCGGCAGCUCUCAGGAAUUGGAAUCGUUACUGAAAGAUUUGUUCGAAACAAAUUGAGAACGGAAGACUCUUCUCUUCGUCUGGUUAUUUCAGAUUUCCGUUUAUUUUAAUUUUAUGGAUUUCAUACUUUAAAACGAAGGAUUGAGGUCCUAGAGAGUUGCUUAGGCCUUUGCUCGACCUCCCCUCCCCUCCCCGCCACAACUCCCCAACCCC